AGGGUUUGAUCAUGGCUCAGGAUGAACGCUAGCGGCAGGCUUAACACAUGCAAGUCGAGGGGUAUAGUUCUUCGGAGCUAGAGACCGGCGCACGGGUGCGUAACGCGUAUGCAAUCUACCUUUUACAGAGGGAUAGCCCAGAGAAAUUCGGAUUAAUCCCCCAUAGUACUGUUUGAUCGCAUGGUCAGAUAGUUAAAGCAUUGCGGUAUAAGAUGGGCAUGCGUCCUAUUAGCUAGAUGGUGAGGUAACGGCUCACCAUGGCUACGAUAGGUAGGGGGCCUGAGAGGGUGGUCCCCCACACUGGUACUGAGACACGGACCAGACUCCUACGGGAGGCAGCAGUGAGGAAUAUUGGUCAAUGGGCGCAAGCCUGAACCAGCCAUGCCGCGUGCAGGAAGAAUGCCCCUAUGGGUUGUAAACUGCUUUUUAUUUGGGAAUAAACCUCUUUACGUGUAGAGAGCUGAAGGUACCAAAUGAAUAAGCACCGGCUAACUCCGUGCCAGCCGCCGCGGUAAUACGGAGGGUGCAAGCGUUAUCCGGAAUCCUUGGGUUUAAAGGGUCC
rnacentral:rRNA from 1 species